rnacentral:rRNA from 1 species
AGCGAACGCUGGCGGCAGGCCUAACACAUGCAAGUCGAACGAACUCUUCGGAGUUAGUGGCGGACGGGUGAGUAACACGUGGGAACGUGCCUUUAGGUUCGGAAUAACUCAGGGAACCUUGUGCUAAUACCGAAUGUGCCCUUCGGGGGAAAGAUUUAUCGCCUUUAGAGCGGCCCGCGUCUGAUUAGCUAGUUGGUGAGGUAAAGGCUCACCAAGGCGACGAUCAGUAGCUGGUCUGAGAGGAUGAUCAGCCACAUUGGGACUGAGACACGGCCCAAACUCCUACGGGAGGCAGCAGUGGGGAAUCUUGCGCAAUGGGCGAAAGCCUGACGCAGCCAUGCCGCGUGAAUGAUGAAGGUCUUAGGAUUGUAAAAUUCUUUCACCGGGGACGAUAAUGACGGUACCCGGAGAAGAAGCCCCGGCUAACUUCGUG